CUCCCUGGGGGGGAACCAGCCGCAGUGCAGUGCGCUGGAAACCCUCUCUUCCCUGGAAGCCUGGGCCCGUGUCAUCGCCCUGCCUCUCCUCGCCCUCGACCACAACCACGGAUAACCCCAGAGUGACCCCUCGGGCUGUCUGGUCAGGGGUGGAGUUCUGGCGGCCCCCGGCAAAGUGUCUGAGUCACACUCUCUCGUCACAUCCUUUCGCUUCCCCAAGCGGUUCGGACGCGAAAGGCCUUUCUGAUUGGCCGCCUCCAGGGGCCAGUGUCCCGAAGCGGCUGGCCGGCUGGGGGUCCGGAGCGCAUAAGUACGUCCCGCUGGGGAGGGCGGUCCCAGACGUCCGGAGCUGCGGCUGCCGGGAGCCGCUAGGGGGGGACAGGCUCACUUCCUGAGCGAAUGAAUGAGAUUUCCUUCCGGAAGAUGCUCGGAAGGGCACCCUUUACCCUUCGCAGGGAAGGAAGCCUUGGGAAUGUGGAACAGAAGGACCGUAAAUAAAGUUUCUACAUGUAAUUCUGUAAAAGGCCUGGCAGAGAGGGUCAGGAGGAGUUCCUUAGGUCGAAGAUAAAGAUGCAGCACAGAUAUGUGCUCUUUUACCUUCCUCCCUAUCCUGAAAGGGCUAAUUUUCUGGUAACUCAAAAUCGUCUUGCCUCUUCAAUGUGUGCCAAUAAAUAAAUCACAAAUAAAUAAAUUUGUUAAAGCAUC